rnacentral:rRNA from 1 species
UACUCGAGUGGCGAACGGGUGAGUAACACGUGGGUGAUCUGCCCUGCACUUCGGGAUAAGCUUGGGAAACUGGGUCUAAUACCGGAUAGGACCGCACUUUAGUGUGUGUGGUGGAAAGUUUUUUCGGUGUAGGAUGAGCCCGCGGCCUAUCAGCUUGUUGGUGGGGUAAUGGCCUACCAAGGCGGCGACGGGUAGCCGGACUGAGAGGGUGUACGGCCACAUUGGGACUGAGAUACGGCCCAG